rnacentral:rRNA from 1 species
CCUACGGGCGGCAGCAGUGGGGAAUAUUGGACAAUGGGGGGAACCCUGAUCCAGCCAUGCCGCGUGUGUGAAGAAGGCCCUCGGGUUGUAAAGCACUUUCAGUGAGGAAGAACGCCUGGUGGUUAAUACCCAUCAGGAAAGACAUCACUCACAGAAGAAGCACCGGCUAACUCCGUGCCAGCAGCCGCGGUAAUACGGAGGGUGCGAGCGUUAAUCGGAAUUACUGGGCGUAAAGCGCGCGUAGGUGGCUUGAUAAGCCGGUUGUGAAAGCCCCGGGCUCAACCUGGGAACAGCAUCCGGAACUGUCAAGCUAGAGUGCAGGAGAGGAAGGUAGAAUUCCCGGUGUAGCGGUGAAAUGCGUAGAGAUCGGGAGGAAUACCAGUGGCGAAGGCGGCCUUCUGGACUGACACUGACACUGAGGUGCGAAAGCGUGGGUAGCAAACAGGAUUAGAUACCCCUGUAGUC